rnacentral:rRNA from 1 species
AGCUUGCUACCUGACCUAGCGGCGGACGGGUGAGUAAUGCUUAGGAAUCUGCCUAUUAGUGGGGGACAACAUUCCGAAAGGAAUGCUAAUACCGCAUACGCCCUACGGGGGAAAGCAGGGGAUCUUCGGACCUUGCGCUAAUAGAUGAGCCUAAGUCAGAUUAGCUAGUUGGUGGGGUAAAGGCCUACCAAGGCGACGAUCUGUAGCGGGUCUGAGAGGAUGAUCCGCCACACUGGGACUGAGACACGGCCCAGACUCCUACGGGAGGCAGCAGUGGGGAAUAUUGGACAAUGGGCGAAAGCCUGAUCCAGCCAUGCCGCGUGUGUGAAGAAGGCCUUUUGGUUGUAAAGCACUUUAAGCGAGGAGGAGGCUACUUGGAUUAAUACUCUAGGAUAGUGGACGUUACUCGCAGAAUAAGCACCGGCUAACUCUGUGCCAGCAGCCGCGGUAAUACAGAGGGUGCGAGCGUUAAUCGGAUUUACUGGGCGUAAAGCGUGCGUAGGCGGCUUUUUAAGUCGGAUGUGAAAUCCCUGAGCUUAACUUAGGAAUUGCAUUCGAUACUGGGAAGCUAGAGUAUGGGAGAGGAUGGUAGAAUUCCAAGUGUAGCGGUGAAGUGCGUAGAGAUCUGGAGGAAUACCGAUGGCGAAGGCAGCCAUCUGGCCUAAUACUGACGCUGAGGUACGAAAGCAUGGGGAGCAAACAGGAUUAGAUACCCUGGUAGUCCAUGCCGUAAACGAUGUCUACUAGCCGUUGGGGCCUUUGAGGCUUUAGUGGCGCAGCUAACGCGAUAAGUAGACCGCCUGGGGAGUACGGUCGCAAGACUAAAACUCAAAUGAAUUGACGGGGGCCCGCACAAGCGGUGGAGCAUGUGGUUUAAUUCGAUGCAACGCGAAGAACCUUACCUGGUCUUGACAUAGUAAGAACUUUCCAGAGAUGGAUUGGUGCCUUCGGGAACUUACAUACAGGUGCUGCAUGGCUGUCGUCAGCUCGUGUCGUGAGAUGUUGGGUUAAGUCCCGCAACGAGCGCAACCCUUUUCCUUAUUUGCCAGCGGGUUAAGCCGGGAACUUUAAGGAUACUGCCAGUGACAAACUGGAGGAAGGCGGGGACGACGUCAAGUCAUCAUGGCCCUUACGACCAGGGCUACACACGUGCUACAAUGGUCGGUACAAAGGGUUGCUACCUAGCGAUAGGAUGCUAAUCUCAAAAAGCCGAUCGUAGUCCGGAUUGGAGUCUGCAACUCGACUCCAUGA